CACAAUCAAGGUAAAAAACAGAUCAGUGCCUCCCAAACUCCCCCCUCCCACAACCCUCCCGCCUUUCAUGGUAAGAAUAUUUUAUAUGAGGCCCAUUCUUAAUCUGACUUUAGAUGUGCAAUACAUUCCUGUUGACCACAGGUCCCGUGUUGUAAAAUACAUCUCUAUGGUUAAUCAUCUACUACAGUGAGAGUUUCAUUUUGCACUGAUGUGUAAACUAUGCACCCAUUUCAUCCCACGUUGUCGCCUAUAGCCAAGCUUCUGUAUUAUGGCUGUACAAUACUUCCCUGUGAGCAUUCGUGAUACAUGUUUUUAUCCAGCGAUGAAGGAUUCAUCUGAUCCUUUAAAUCUUGGCUGUUGCAAAUAAUUGUACAACAAACACACACGUGCAGACAGUUCUUCAAGGUCCUCCUGUCAGUACUUCUGGCUGGGCCCUUAGGCUUGGCCUGUCGAGUCACGGGUAUGUCUUCUUUUAGUUUUAGAGGAGGCUCUAGUGUUGUCUAUACUGAUUGGCCCCUUUGAUACUAUUAGCUGUUCAAGUUCCCAACAAACCCAUCCUCUUUGCUAACCCUUGUGCCUUUUUUUUAAAAAUUUUUUUUGUUUUUGUUUUUGUUUUUUGUUUUUUUUGGAUAAUUGGACAACGAUUUGCCUGCCUCUGAGCUGUGACUGACGUGGCUUAUAUCUCUGUCAUCUUUAUUCCUAGAAUCUAGGAUACUACUCACAUGCCAGUAACUGUGCCAGAAACAUUUCUUACCUUUGCCCUGAGUAUGGUUUUUCGAGAUGCUUUAGGGGCAAUAACUCAUGAAACAAAGAAAAAUAAACUAUGCUUUGAGUUCCAGUCUUCACCGCUCAGUUACAGGUGCCGUGAGAACCACGAGUUACAUAUAUGCUUUCAUUUAGGUCAGCAAUCUGUAAGCUCCAGAUAUUCAAAGACAGAAGUGCUCGGCUGGGACAUAUUCCGAGGCUUAAGCAAUGGUGUGUGAUCACAAUGUGAGUCAUACAUAGUAUAGGUCAGCAAUAUGUGUGAUCACAAUGUGAGUCAUACAUAGUAUAGGUCAGCAAUGGUGUGUGAUCACAAUGUGAGUCAUACAUAGUAUAGGUCAGCAAUGGUGUGUGAUCACAAUGUGAAUCAUACAUAGUAUAGGUAAGCAAUAGUGUGUGAUCACAAUGUGAGUCAUACAUAGUAUAGGUCAGCAAUAGGUGUGAUCACAAUGUGAGUCAUACAUAGUAUAGGUCAGCAAUGGUGUGUGAUCACAAUGUGAGUCACACAUAGUAUAGGCCAUCUUUACAAAUCACCUGUGUCCACACACGUGGUCAUGACUGUAUCUGACAAUGAGCUAGGCUUGACCUUUUCAUUAUAUUUAGAAUGGAUUGAAUUGCUUAUAGAUAUAAUGUAUUCAUCAGUUGUUUUCUUCUCCCCAAAUCCACAACUUUUUACUCCUGGAAGAAAAGCCUCCUCUCAACUAAGUUGUUGAAAUAGUUUCUGAUUUCUGGACCUUUU
ensembl:lncRNA